rnacentral:rRNA from 1 species
CCUCAUGUAGUUGAGCAGAUGGCUUUGUUAGAUAUAAAAAGUAUGCUUGAAUCGAUGGGGAAGGACAUAUCAUCAUUACCUCUUCCAGAAAUUGUUGAGUCAUAUGAUGGCUCAAAUAACGAGGCUAGGGAGAUCACAGAGGAGUCGACCAUAGGGGUGAACCCAGAACACCUUGGCUUUUCAUCUUUCCUAAACCCAGAAGAGAGAUAUGCAUAUGAUGAGAUACUUGCAACAAUCAAUAGUGGCCAAGGAGGUGUGUUCUUUGUUGAUGGACCAGGAGGCACUGGAAAGACUUAUCUAUACAAACACUACUUGCAAAAGUACGUGGUGAGGGUAAGAUAG